AGAGUUUGAUCAUGGCUCAGGACGAACGCUGGCGGCGUGCUUAACACAUGCAAGUCGAGCGGUAAGGCCCCUUCGGGGGUACACGAGCGGCGAACGGGUGAGUAACACGUGAGCAACCUACCCUCAACUUUGGGAUAAGCCUCGGAAACGGGGUCUAAUACCGGAUAUGAUCUCCUGCUUCAUGGUGGGGGGUUGAAAGUUCUGGCGGUUGGGGAUGGGCUCGCGGCCUAUCAGCUUGUUGGUGGGGUAAUGGCCUACCAAGGCGUCGACGGGUAGCCGGCCUGAGAGGGCGACCGGCCACACUGGGACUGAGACACGGCCCAGACUCCUACGGGAGGCAGCAGUGGGGAAUCUUGCGCAAUGCGCGAAAGCGUGACGCAGCAACGCCGCGUGGGGGAAGACGGCCUUCGGGUUGUAAACCCCUUUCAGGAGGGACGAAGCUCCGGUCGCGAAUAGUGGUCCGGAGUGACGGUACCUCCACAAGAAGCCCCGGCUAACUACGUGCCAGCAGCGGCGGUAAUAC
rnacentral:rRNA from 1 species